GCAGAAAUUCUGCUUAGGGUCUCCUCAGUGAUGGAGCUGCCAUUGAGUCAAGCUCAGUUCUCAGGCACAUUCCUGAUGCUUGCAGUUUCAAACAUGCUGCUGUGGGAGAAAGUUUCAUCCAUUCCUGCAUGUCUUGCGGAAGAGGGUGGCUGCUGGAACCCCAUUGUGGAAACAUUUAACAGUGCCAUGCAGCGAGGUGAAACCCUCCGUAAUCUUGCUGACCAAUUAUAUACAGAGCUUUAUCACAAUCAAUUCUCAUCUGAACAAUUUUUGGCUCUUAACUCAAAACUGAUUAGGAGGGAUAAGACUGCUGUCAGAGCUGGAACAUACUGCCAUUCGACUCUCUCAAACUCCCCAGAUGGGGAAACUAAGCAUGCAGAUGUUGAAACCGAAAAAUAUUUAAAAAUGUUGAUCAAUUUUGUGGGUGCCUGGAUCAGCCCUCUAUACCAUCUAGUGAUUGAACUGAGUGCCAUGCAAGAUGUCCCUGAAACUAUCCUCUCAAAAGCCAAAGAUAUUGAAGAGAACAAAAGAGAACUCCUGGAUGACCUUAAGUGGAUACUCACUAAGGUGAGAAUUUCCCAUUAGUUAUUCUCAUUCUUAAAACAAGUUGAAUGUCUAAAUCAACAACAAGAACAACAACAACAACAACAACAACAACAACAACAACAACAACAGAAUUUGGAAAUAUGUCAUCUUUCCAGAAUGAAACAUAAAUAUCUCGUCUUGUUCAC
rnacentral:lncRNA from 1 species